UACGUAGGGUGCGAGCGUUGUCCGGAAUUAUUGGGCGUAAAGAGCUUGUAGGUGGUUUGUCGCGUCUGCUGUGAAAAUCCGAGGCUCAACCUCGGACUUGCAGUGGGUACGGGCAGACUAGAGUGUGGUAGGGGAGACUGGAAUUCCUGGUGUAGCGGUGGAGUGCGCAGAUAUCAGGAGGAACACCGAUGGCGAAGGCAGGUCUCUGGGCCACUACUGACGCUGAGAAGCGAAAGCAUGGGGAGCGAACAGG
rnacentral:rRNA from 1 species